UUGGAUUGUAUUCCACUGGACUAUUGCAUCAAGGAAUGCCCCAUUUAGACCAGAACUGGUCAUCUGACAUGAACUGAGCAAUCACUGACAAUCUGAUGCAUACUGUACUCAAAACUACCAAAGUGCUAGCAGCCCUGUCAUUUGGAGGUGCACCGGGGUCCAGUUGGAAAAAAAAAAGUACUGCAUACAUGAGUUGAGGAAGACCUAUUACUGACCAUUACAAGUCUGUAGUGGUCCUGAAGACCUUGAUUAGCUGGUUCAGGUGUGUUUAAUGAAGACUGGAGCUUAUCUCUGCAAGAUAGUGGCCCUCCAGGAGCAGGAUUGACCACUACAGCACUAGACAUCUGUAAGCACAUCUGUAAAUUCUGCUGUUGGCAUCUUCAGUGCUACCAACUAGAUAAACUGGGUCUAAACUGUAUGCCAAAUCUAAAGUGCAAAUAUUGCACAAACAGCUUGUCGCUGAGGUAUGGUUACACACCUUUAAGGAUACUGCCCUCGUUGUACCCCAAGCUGUUGUACCCCUAAAGUUCAAUAUUGUUCUGGAUUUUUUUCGGAGUGUUCCUGAGUGGAUUUUGGUCAAAAUAAGCUACACUGUGGACCACACUGGCUACAUGGGGGAUAAAACAGAUCAGAUAAUAAAACAUGCUCAAACAUAUCAGAAGAACUGACUGUAGCAUCCAGGAUAAGAUUGUUUCCAGAACAAAUGAUAAACACCUGUGCAUCCACAGCAAUCAGACUGGAUCUGGCACUUUCAGUUAGCUCUUGCAAUUUUUGUUUACAAAAUGCAUAUGAAAACAGUUCAUCUGUGCCUGGGACCACCCAAGUGAAGAGUGACAGCAAGAUAUAAACCUAACCUUGAGACCUUAAUCAGGGGUGUCCAAUCCUACUCCCGGAGGGUCCAGCAAAGUUUAGCACCAAUCACAAUUAAACACAACAGAAGAAGCUAAUUCAUGUCUCCAGGAGUACUCGAGACUUCCGGGCAGGUGUGUCGGGGUAAUUUGAAGCUAAACUCUGCCGGACAUUGAGCCUCCAGGAGCAGGUUUGGACACCCCUGCUUAAGACCCUUAGCCUAAGCCCUAAAAUUUUACUGGUUGAUUGGAAUGUUGUUUUAAGUACCAACAAGGAUGCUGAUCCAAGAACACAUCCUACGUAUCUUGACCUCCAGGGAGGUGUAGUCUAGAGGUUAAAGCUCUGGGCUGCUAACCAAAAGGAUGUAGGGUCCAAACCAAGGUGUGAUCCAAGAUUAAUGAUCACUGUAGCCUUGAACAUGGCACUUAUCAUAAGAUUACUUCCGGAGGAUGGGAAUACUGAACUAGUGUACUAGUGUGAUGUAGGUUACGUUGAAACAUGAAUGACAAAUUAGGGAAUUACCUCCUGUUUUUGUUUCAGCGGCCGUGAACCGUAAGGGUGUAUUUUUAUCAGGGAGAGGGAGCGCAGCAGGAGCUCACAGUGGGUUAUUUUAAGAGUGUCCCUUAAUCAUUCCUGCUUGACAUGUUCUCACUGAUAGCCAGACCUUCCCAGAACAACGCAGGAAGGCCUACCAUUACCCCUGUUCAUAUCAGUGUCCCCACUCUUUCACAGGAGGGUUUUACGCAUCUAUAUGCAGCACUGAUACCAUCAGCAAACCCGUGCUCAUACUCAUAUACUAUCAAACGCGCCGCCUCAUGCACGCAGAGCUGUAAACGCUCCUAAAAUACCCCGAUGAACUCCUGCGAUGCUGCUCACUGAAUGAAGAAUGACCUUGUGCAGGGGAGUGUUUGUGUGUGGGAUGACAGAGGAAGAUAUGCCAUCUCUAGCAAGACGCAGUUUUAUAAGAUUACUUCGAUUCUUUUUUUGGCUCUCAUACUCCAAGAGGAAAUAAAUUAUUUUGAAGAAAUGAGAAAUGAAAUCACUGUAUGCAAGAAAAGGGACUUUGCUUUCCAAGACUGCAAGUUAAGCAUAUCUAUUACUCAAACUCACUGUAGGGUUAGUGAUGUGACUAAACCCUUAACAUUAAGUAUGAA